AGUUCACAUAUCCUAAACACACAAAAAUCACCAAACAUGACUUCACUUCCUUUCUUGUUUCGCAUCAGCAUUACUCGUCACAACUUCCAUUUUCUCCAUCUUCUUAUACCCAAACUCCUUGGUCUUGAUCCCACAUUCCUCCUGCAUCACCAUCGCAAGAUUGUUCCUUUUGAAAGCUGCAUAUAUAUGCAUCAUGGCAAAGAACACAAGCCCUGUUGAUCCAAAGGUCAUGACGAAGCAAGUGACAACCUCCCACAUCCUAUCACUUGUCCUCUUCUUCGCAGCCUCCUCUUUUCUAAGUUGUUCCUCUUUUCUAAGUUGUUCCUCCAAAAGCACCGGCGCCCAAGAGUGCUCAUACUCGGAGUGUCUCACUUCUAAACUCCAAGAAUGAAGAUUUACAUUCCCACUAUACGAAUUCACAGCAACCAUGAACUCAUCCUCAUCUCUCAACAUUUGUGACAAAUCAAUCUGAUCAAACAUCAGAGGAAGAACAGAUUCAAA